rnacentral:misc_RNA from 1 species
CCUUGUGGAGGAGGACGCCGAAGGUGGGGCUAAUGACUGGGGUGAAGUCGUAACAAGGUAGCCGUACCGGAAGGUGCGGCUGGAUCACCUCCUAACAGGGAGACAACAAAAUGUUAAAUAUUAAUUUUGUCACCUUAGGUCGAUCGGUAUCUCACAUCCUUAAAUUUAUUAAGGAUUUUAUUUCCUAAGUUUUUUCUAGGUCACACCCAUUACUUUUCCUGGGCCAUUAGCUCAGGUGGUUAGAGCGCACCCCUGAUAAGGGUGAGGUCCCUGGUUCAAGUCCAGGAUGGCCCAUAUCUCUAUGUUGGGGGUAUAGCUCAGUUGGUAGAGCGCCUGCUUUGCAAGCAGGAUGUCAGCGGUUCGAGUCCGCUUACCUCCACUGAUCACCACCUCUUCCAUAAUUUAUUGAAGGGAAAUGUUUUGAGUUGUGAUCAAAUUCUGAACGAAUCUAGCUUCCUAAUCAAAUUUAUUAAGAUGCUGGACUCAUUGAAUUAAUUUCAUUGUUUUCAGAGAACCUUGACAACUGCAUAGAUUAUUUUUAAAGACAAUAAGCAUCUUUAAUGAUGCAGAUUUAUUAUUUGUGCGAAUGCAUUAAUAACAAUUCUAUUAAGCUGAUGCUUCAAUUAUUGAAGUUAUUGGUCAAGCUACAAAGGGCUCACGGAGG